rnacentral:rRNA from 1 species
AACUUUGUUAUGAUUUUUCUCCAAAGAACCUAGACACUUGCAUGGUAAUUAUUUGAGAAUAAUAACCCAGCCAGAAAUAUUAAACAAUACUUGAAAUAGUAAUUUAAUCAAGGUUCAAUCUUUGACUAAAUUAGGUGCCAGCAGUCGCGGUCAGACCUAAAAAGUCUUGGAAAAAAUAGAAUUUGAUUUAGAGAAAAAGUACAAUAUUUAGUGAAAUGAGAUUGUAUUCUGUUUCUACUCUCUAAGAUUUUCAUUAAAGGCACUAUAUAAACUAGGAUUAGAUACCCUACUAUUAGCCCUCAAGAGAAAAUUCUAAGCACUACGGCUAAAAAAGCUAAAACUUAAAUAACAUGGCGGCAAGCUUAAAUUUCAGAGGAACCUACCAGGUAAAUGAUAACCCGCAAAAUAUUCUUACUUUAUCUAAGAGUUUAUAUACCGCCGUCUAGUAAUCUUUUAGGAAGGCUACAAAAUGUAAUUUUUACAAAAAGACAGGUCAUGGUAUAGCAUAUGGUAAAGACUUUAAGGUGGGUUACAAUAAAAAUUUUUUUUCGGAAAGCUAGCUAAAGGCAGCUUUAAAGAUGGAUUUGAAAGUAAAUAUUAAAAUAAGUAUAUUUUGAAUAUUUUUAAGUUCGUGUACAAAUCGCCCGUCACUCUCAUUGUAACAUGAGACAAGUCGUAACACAGUAGAGGUACCGGAAGGUGUCUCUGUCU